rnacentral:rRNA from 1 species
AGUGAACGCUGGCGGCGUGCCUAAUACAUGCAAGUCGAACGGAGAUUAAGUAGCUUGCUAUUUAAUCUUAGUGGCGCACGGGUGAGUAAUAUAUAGCUAACUUGCCCAUUACUAAGGGACAACAGUUGGAAACGACUGCUAAUACCUUAUACUCCGUAUCUAUAUAAGUAGAUACGGGAAAGUUUCUCGGUAAUGGAUAGGGCUAUAUCGUAUCAGCUAGUUGGUAAGGUAAUGGCUUACCAAGGCUAUGACGCGUAACUGGUCUGAGAGGAUGAUCAGUCACACUGGAACUGAGACACGGUCCAGACUCCUACGGGAGGCAGCAGUAGGGAAUAUUGCUCAAUGGGGGAAACCCUGAAGCAGCAACGCCGCGUGGAGGAUGACACUUUUCGGAGCGUAAACUCCUUUUCUUGGGAAAGAAUUAUGACGGUACCCAAGGAAUAAGCACCGGCUAACUCCGUG